rnacentral:lncRNA from 1 species
CAGACUGCUUGGGAGGCUAAAAGGAAAUGGCAUUCAGAAGGAAGUUAAAAAAGGAGGACAACAAAGGAGCACAGGUAGGUCUUUUUCAAGUGCUGUUUCUAAAAUGAAAAAAUCAAAAUUAACUAACCUUAUGGCAAAAGUUGACUUAGAGUACAAAAAUCUGAGUUUUCUUCUAUCUUCUUGUCUUCACUGAGCCUUUAACUGUAAGUAUCCCUAUGCUUGCAUGAUUUAUCUCUGACAGUGGUGUAGGAGACAGAAGACUUUGAAAGGAGACUUUAAAGUCAAUAGUGCAAU